UACGUAGGUGGCGAGCGUUUGUCCGGGAUUUAUUGGGUUUAAAAGGGUGCGUAGGCGGCCAACUAAGUCAUACGUGAAAUCCCUCGGCUUAACCGGGGAACUGCGUCUGAUACUGGAUGGCUUGAGUUCGGGAGAGGGAUGCGGAAUUCCAGGUGUUAGCGGUGAAAUGCGUAGAUAUCUGGAGGAACACCGGUGGCGAAGGCGGCAUCCUGGACCGAUACUGACGCUGAGGAGCGAAAGCGUGGGGAGCGAACGG
rnacentral:rRNA from 1 species